UACAGAGGUCUCAAGCGUUGUUCGGAUUCAUUGGGCGUAAAGGGUGCGUAGGCGGUCUGCUAAGUUUGGUGUGAAAUCCCGGGGCUCAACCCUGGAAUUGCAUUGAAUACUGGUGGACUAGAGUACUGGAGAGGAAACUGGAAUUUACGGUGUAGCAGUGAAAUGCGUAGAGAUCGUAAGGAAGACCAGUGGCGAAGGCGGCUUUCUGGGCCUUACCUGACGCUGAGACGCGAAAGCGUGGGGAGCGAACCGG
rnacentral:rRNA from 1 species